rnacentral:rRNA from 1 species
CAUUAGCUAGUUGGUGAGGUAACGGCUCACCAAGGCGACGAUGCGUAGCCGACCUGAGAGGGUGAUCGGCCACACUGGGACUGAGACACGGCCCAGACUCCUACGGGAGGCAGCAGUAGGGAAUCUUCCGCAAUGGACGAAAGUCUGACGGAGCAACGCCGCGUGAGUGAUGAAGGUUUUCGGAUCGUAAAGCUCUGUUGUUAGGGAAGAACAAGUGCAAGAGUAACUGCUUGCACCAUGACGGUACCUAACCAGAAAGCCACGGCUAACUACGUGCCAGCAGCCGCGGUAAUACGUAGGUGGCAAGCGUUGUCCGGAAUUAUUGGGCGUAAAGGGCUCGCAGGCGGUUUCUUAAGUCUGAUGUGAAAGCCCCCGGCUCAACCGGGGAGGGUCAUUGGAAACUGGGAAACUUGAGUGCAGAAGAGGAGAGUGGAAUUCCACGUGUAGCGGUGAAAUGCGUAGAGAUGUGGAGGAACACCAGUGGCGAAGGCGACUCUCUGGUCUGUAACUGACGCUGAGGAGCGAAAGCGUGGGGAGCGAACAGGAUUAGAUACCCUGGUAGUCCACGCCGUAAACGAUGAGUGCUAAGUGUUAGGGGGUUUCCGCCCCUUAGUGCUGCAGCUAACGCAUUAAGCACUCCGCCUGGGGAGUACGGUCGCAAGACUGAAACUCAAAGGAAUUGACGGGGGCCCGCACAAGCGGUGGAGCAUGUGGUUUAAUUCGAAGCAACGCGAAGAACCUUACCAGGUCUUGACAUCCUCUGACAACCCUAGAGAUAGGGCUUUCCCUUCGGGGACAGAGUGACAGGUGGUGCAUGGUUGUCGUCAGCUCGUGUCGUGAGAUGUUGGGUUAAGUCCCGCAACGAGCGCAACCCUUGAUCUUAGUUGCCAGCAUUCAGUUGGGCACUUUAAGGUGACUGCCGGUGACAAACCGGAGGAAGGUGGGGAUGACGUCAAAUCAUCAUGCCCCUUAUGACCUGGGCUACACACGUG